AGAGACUGCAAGCGUUAUUCGGAUUCACUGGGCGUAAAGGGUGCGCAGGCGGCCAAGUGUGUGAGGCGUGAAAGCCCGGGGCUUAACCCCGGAAUUGCACCUCAAACUACAUGGCUAGAGCAUUGGAGAGGGUAGCAGAAUUCAUGGUGUAGCAGUGAAAUGCGUAGAUAUCAUGAGGAAUACCAGAGGCGAAGGCGGCUACCUGGACAAUUGCUGACGCUCAGGCACGAAAGCGUGGGGAGCAAAAGGGAUUAGAUACCCCUGUAGUCCACGCCCUAAACGGUGCACACUAGGUCUUGGCGGAUUCGACCCCCCCAGGGCCCCAGCUAACGCGUUAAGUGUGCCGCCUGAGGACUACGGCCGCAAGGCUAAA
rnacentral:rRNA from 1 species